GGUUUCUCAAGGCUACAAGGCCUUUGGGUUCUACGAGAGAUUGUGUUCCCUAUAAUAAUGAAAUUGCUAACGGCCCUGUGUGUGCCUUAUGUCUUGGCAAGAGGAUUGUUUCCUGUGCUUGGAUACCCAUUAGUAGUAAACUCUGCCGUGUACCGGUUUGCAUGGUUAGGAUGUCUCUGCUUGAGUGCAUUUUGCUUUUGCGCUAAAAGAUUCCAUGUUUG
rnacentral:misc_RNA from 1 species